GAAAGCAAUGCCAAAGCAAAAAAUUCAUUUAAAGGAAGAUGCUAUAAUUGUGGCCACAAAGGCCACAAAAUGAAUGAAUGCGAGAAAAAGUUUAAUCGUAUGAGAAGAAGAAGACGUUGCUACAUAUGCAAAAGAUUGGGCCAUGUUGCCAAGAACUGUAAAGAAGCAAACCUACCAGUCAAAAACGUGCUAAACAAUUGCAGCAA